rnacentral:rRNA from 1 species
GGAGCAGCAGUGGGAUAUGCACAUGGGCGCAGCUGAUGCAGCGACGCGCAUGAGGGAUGAAGGCUUCGGGUGUAAACUCUUUCAGCAGGGAAGAAGCGCAAGUGACGGUACCUGCAGAUGAAGCGCCGGCUAACUACGUGCCAGCAGCCGCGGUAAUACGUAGGGCGCAAGCGUUGUCCGGAAUUAUUGGGCGUAAAGAGCUCGUAGGCGGUUUGUCGCGUCUGCUGUGAAAACUCGAGGCUCAACCUCGGGCUUGCAGUGGGUACGGGCAGACUAGAGUGCGGUAGGGGAGACUGGAAUUCCUGGUGUAGCGGUGGAAUGCGCAGAUAUCAGGAGGAACACCGAUGGCGAAGGCAGGUCUCUGGGCCGCAACUGACGCUGAGGAGCGAAAGCAUGGGGAGCGAACAGGAUUAGAUACCCUGGUAGUCCAUGCCGUAAACGUUGGGCACUAGGUGUGGGGCUCAUUCCACGAGUUCCGUGCCGCAGCAAACGCAUUAAGUGCCCCGCCUGGGGAGUACGGCCGCAAGGCUAAAACUCAAAGAAAUUGACGGGGGCCCGCACAAGCGGCGGAGCAUGCGGAUUAAUUCGAUGCAACGCGAAGAACCUUACCAAGGCUCGACAUACACCGGAAACUUCCAGAGAUGGUUGCCCCGCAAGGUCGGUGUACAGGUGGUGCAUGGUUGUCGUCAGCUCGUGUCGUGAGAUGUUGGGUUAAGUCCCGCAACGGGCGCAACCCUCGUCCUAUGUUGCCAGCGGGUCAUGCCGGGGACUCAUAGGAGACUGCCGGGGUCAACUCGGAGGAAGG